rnacentral:rRNA from 1 species
UACGGGAGGCAGCAGUGGGGAAUAUUGCACAAUGGACGAAAGUCUGAUGCAGCAACGCCGCGUGGAGGAUGACACAUUUCGGUGCGUAAACUCCUUUUAUAUGAGAAGAAAAUGACGGUAUCAUAUGAAUAAGCGCCGGCUAACUCCGUGCCAGCAGCCGCGGUAAUACGGAGGGCGCAAGCGUUACUCGGAAUCACUGGGCGUAAAGAGCGUGUAGGCGGGAAUUUAAGUUGGAAGUGAAAUCCUAUGGCUCAACCAUAGAACUGCUUCCAAAACUGAAUACCUAGAAUAUGGGAGAGGUAGAUGGAAUUUCUGGUGUAGGGGUAAAAUCCGUAGAGAUCAGAAGGAAUACCGAUUGCGAAGGCGAUCUACUGGAACAUUAUUGACGCUGAGACGCGAAAGCGUGGGGAGCAAACAGGAUUAGAUACCCUGGUAGUCCACGCCCUAAACGAUGUACAUUAGUUGUUGCGAUGCUAGACAUUGCAGUAAUGCAGUUAACACAUUAAAU